rnacentral:rRNA from 1 species
UUGGAACUGCAUUUGAAACUGGUUAACUAGAGUUUUGUAGAGGGUGGUAGAAUUUCAGGUGUAGCGGUGAAAUGCGUAGAGAUCUGAAGGAAUACCAGUGGCGAAGGCGGCCACCUGGACAAUAACUGACGCUGAGGCGCGAAGGCGUGGGGAGCAAACGGGAUUAGAUACCCCGGUAGUCCACGCAGUAAACGAUGUCUAUUAGAAUUUUGUGGCUAUAUGCCGUGGGAUUCAAAGCUAACGCAUUAAAUAGACCGCCUGGGGAGUACGGCCGCAAGGUUAAAACUCAAAUGAAUUGACGGGGGCCCGCACAAGCGGUGGAGCAUGUGGUUUAAUUCGAUGCAACGCGAAGAACCUUACCAUCCCUUGACAUCCAGAGAAUCACCAAGAGAUUGAUGAGUGCCUUCGGGAACUCUGAGACAGGUGCUGCAUGGCUGUCGUCAGCUCGUGUUGUGAAAUGUUGGGUUAAGUCCCGCAACGAGCGCAACCCUUAUCCUUAUUUGCCAGCGGGUUAUGCCGGGAACUCUAGGGACACUGCCGGUGAUAAACCGGAGGAAGGUGGGGACGACGUCAAGUCAUCAUGGCCCUUACGGGAUGGGCUACACACGUGCUACAAUGGCAAAUACAAAGGGCUGCUAACCAGCGAUGGUAUGCGAAUCUCCUAAAGUUUGUCGUAGUCCGGAUCGGAGUCUGCAACUCGACUCCGUGAAGUUGGAAUCGCUAGUAAUCGUGGAUCAGAAUGCCACGGUGAAUACGUUCCCGGGCCUUGUACACACCGCCCGUCACACCAUGGGAGUGGGCUGCACCAGAAGUCAUUAGCUUAACCUUCGGGAUGGCGAUGACCACGGUGUGGUUCAUGACUGG